UGAGUAAACCAUAGUAUUCGAGGUCCAAGU
rnacentral:piRNA from 1 species